GUGUAGAGUCUCCUGCUUGAGCAGGGGUUGGACUAGAAGACCUCCAAGGUCCCUUCCAACUCUGUUCUAUUCUGUUUAGUUGAGGACAAGCAGGUUAAGGAGAAAUUUUAAUGGAGAAAAUAUGUA